rnacentral:snoRNA from 1 species
AAUACUGUAGUGCAAAAGAAUUCCUGGCUCUUUGAGGUUGUAAAGCUUACUUGUGCCAUUUUACUUUUCCUUUAAAGAGUUAAGGACCAUGG